GGCGGGUGAGAAACCCGUCCGCCGAUUGACUAAGGGUUCCAGGGCUAGGUUUAUCCGCCCUGGGUUAGUCGGGUCCUAAGGCGAGGCCGACAGGCGUAGUCGAUGGAUAACCAGUUGAUAUUCUGGUACCGCCUAGCAACCGUCCAAUACCGAGAUCAUCAUGCUAACCAAUUUUGCCGGCUUAUUUCCAUGCCUUUCGGGGUGUGGUUUGAGGCUGGUCUUGGGACCCGGUGGUGGAGGUAAGCGUAUUAACAGGGGUGACGCAGAAAGGUAGCUGCAGUGGGCUGAUGGUUUAGCCUAUUUAAGGUUGUGGCCCGUCUUUCAGGUAAAUCCGGGAGACUUGUGGGUGAGAACUGAUGAGGGACGCUUUUAGAGUGGACUUGUGGUGAUCCUAUGCUGCCGAGAAAAGCCUCGACGUGAGGGCAUGACGCGCCCGUACCCUAAACCGACUCAGGUGGUCAGGUAGAGUAUACCGAGGCGUUCGAGUGAAUCAUGGUUAAGGAACUCGGCAAAAUUCCUCCGUAACUUCGGGAUAAGGAGGACCCCGUGACUUCCCCGCGCCUUGCGUGUGGGUGGGGUUGUGGGGUCGCAGAGAAUAGGGAGAAGCGACUGUUUAUCAAAAACACAGGUGCGUGCGAAGCCGUAAGGCGAUGUAUACGCACUGACGCCUGCCCGGUGCUGGAAGGUUAAGAGGAACCGUCAACAUCCUUCGGGGUGUGAAGCGGUGAAUUUAAGCCCCAGUAAACGGCGGUGGUAACUAUAACCAUCCUAAGGUAGCGAAAUUCCUUGUCGGGUAAGUUCCGACCUGCACGAAUGGCGUAACGACUUCCCCACUGUCUCGACCAGGAGCUCGGCGAAAUUGCAGUACGAGUAAAGAUGCUCGUUUCGCGCAGAAGGACGGAAAGACCCCGGGACCUUUACUAUAGCUUGGUAUUGGUGUUCGCUUGGACUUGUGUAGGAUAGGUGGGAGACUGUGAAGCUGCCGCGCCAGCGGUGGUGGAGUCGUCGUUGAAAUACCAUUCUGGUUUAAGCGGUCACCUCAACCUUGGCCCGUGAUCCGGGUUGGGGACAGUGCCUGGUGGGUAGUUUAACUGGGGCGGUUGCCUCCUAAAAUGUAACGGAGGCGCUCAAAGGUUCCCUCAGCCUGGUUGGUAAUCAGGUGGCGAGUGCAAGUGUACAAGGGAGCUUGACUGUGAGACCGACGGGUCGAGCAGGUGCGAAAGCAGGAACUAGUGAUCCGGCCAUGGCACGUGGGUGCGUGGUCGCUCAACGGAUAAAAGGUACCCCGGGGAUAACAGGCUGAUCUUGCCCAAGAGUCCAUAUCGACGGCAUGGUUUGGCACCUCGAUGUCGGCUCGUCGCAUCCUGGGGCUGGAGUAGGUCCCAAGGGUUGGGCUGUUCGCCCAUUAAAGCGGUACGCGAGCUGGGUU
rnacentral:rRNA from 1 species